ACUCUAAACUUGUCUUUACAAUUUUAUAAAAUUUGUGUUCUGAUUCUCUGAGGUUUAUAAUGUCAGUAGCAUGGUUUGUUGAUUGGAUGAAUAAAAGGGAAUUCUGAUUCUCUGAAGAUUUAUAAUGCUUGACCUGAAAACCUAAGCUUGCUGAAUUGUUUGGCUCACCUCUUGCAACAUUUUUCAGAUAACGAGCUUUUGGAUCAGAACUGGUUCUGUGUAGAGGCUUGACUCAGAGCCUCAGCCAUAUAGAAUGCUGACUAUACCCUAGUUUCAUUUGUAUCUUUGGUCCUUUCAAUAUAACAACCUUUGUUUGUCAUGGACUUGGACCUCUCCUAAGUUCCCAUUCGACAAUUACUCAACUCAAGCAUACCUUUUUUCUUUUUGUAGGAUGUGCUAAUGACUAUAUCCUAGUUUCAUUUGUAUCUUUGGUUCUUUGGGUGUAACAAUACCUGUUUGUCAUAGAUUUAGACCUCUCUUAAGCACCCGUUCUGCACUUGACAACUCAGGCUUACUUUUUCCUUGUACUGGAUGUGACCUAGGAGGCUUGACUUGGAGCCUCAACCAUACUGAAUGCUAACUAUAUCCUAGUUUCAUUCGAAUAUUUGGUUCUUUACAUUUGCCACGGAAUUAGACCUUUCCUAAGUACCUAUAUGACAAUUACACAACUCAAACUUACUUUUUUCCUUUUUUGCAGGAUGUGACAUAGGAGGCUUGACUUGAAGCCUCGACCCUAUAGAAUGGUUGUGACCUAAGAGGCCUGACUUGGAGCUUCAUUCAUUCAUCGGUAUUGUUGGUUCUUUUGGUGUGACAACACUUAUUUGUCCCAAAAUUAGGCCUCUCCUAACCAGGUCCAACAAUUAGACAAUUCAAGCUUACUUUUUUCCUUGUAGAGGCUAUCAUACAUUGAUUCUUCAGUUACACCCAAUACACUUGUGUAGGCAUGACAUGACAUGAUUGUGGAUAUGGGAUCCUCGUUAGACAUUCUUGUUUUACUUUGGAUGUGAAUGUUUGAUUUUUUUUGUUGA